rnacentral:rRNA from 1 species
GACGAACGCUGGCGGCGUGCUUAACACAUGCAAGUCGAACGGGCCCGCCCUCUUUUUUGGGGGUGGGUUGAGUGGCGAACGGGUGAGUAUCACGUGAGUAACCUGCCCCCUGCUCCUGGAUAACUGCUUGAAAGGGCGGCUAAUACGGGGUGUGCCGGCUGGUCCGCAUGGGCCUGGUCGGGAUAGUUUCAUCUUCGGGUGUUUCGGUGGGGGAUGGGCUCGCGGCCUAUCUGCUUGGUGGGGGGGUGAUGGCCCACCAAGGCGGUGACGGGUAGCCGGCCUGAGAGGGUGGGCAGCCACACUGGGACUGAGACACGGCCCAGACGCCUGCGGGAGGGAGCAGUGGGGGGUAUUGCGCAAGGGGCGGGAGCCUGAGGCAGCGACGUCGCGUGAGGGAUGGAGGCCGUCGGGUGGUGAACCUCUUUCUCCGGUGGUGAAGGCCCUGUCCGUUGCGGCGGGGUUGACGGUAGCCGGGGAUGAAGCGCCGGCUAACUACGUG